rnacentral:rRNA from 1 species
AAUUUAUUUAUGUAAUAUUUAUUACAAAUAGUACUUGUUUUAUAUAGAAUUGAUUAUAUCUUUAGUAGGGAGUUUAUUAUUAAUU